rnacentral:rRNA from 1 species
UCCAUCCAGUGGCAACACUGGUGAAGAUCUAGCGGCGAACGGGUGAGUAACACGUGAGAAACCUGCCCCGGAGACCGGGAUAACUCGAGGAAACUCGAGCUAAUACCGGAUACCCCCACCGAACCGCAUGAUUUGGUGAGGAAAUGCUCCGACGCUCCGGGAGGGUCUCGCGGCCUAUCAGCUGGUUGGUGAGGUAACGGCUCACCAAGGCUAAGACGGGUAGCUGGUCUGAGAGGACGAUCAGCCACACUGGGACUGAGACACGGCCCAGACUCCUACGGGAGGCAGCAGUGGGGAAUCUUGCGCAAUGGGCGAAAGCCUGACGCAGCAACGCCGCGUGGGGGAUGAAGGCUCUCGGG